rnacentral:rRNA from 1 species
AGAGUUUGAUCCUGGCUCAGAUUGAACGCUGGCGGCAGGCCUAACACAUGCAAGUCGAACGGUAACAGGAAGCAGCUUGCUGCUUCGCUGACGAGUGGCGGACGGGUGAGUAAUGUCUGGGAAACUGCCUGAUGGAGGGGGAUAACUACUGGAAACGGUAGCUAAUACCGCAUAACGUCGCAAGACCAAAGAGGGGGACCUUCGGGCCUCUUGCCAUCGGAUGUGCCCAGAUGGGAUUAGCUAGUAGGUGGGGUAACGGCUCACCUAGGCGACGAUCCCUAGCUGGUCUGAGAGGAUGACCAGCCACACUGGAACUGAGACACGGUCCAGACUCCUACGGGAGGCAGCAGUGGGGAAUAUUGCACAAUGGGCGCAAGCCUGAU